CUUUGAACCGCCGGGGACGCUGUUUACCUUGGCCGCCCGAGUGGCAGUUUUACAGAUAUUAAAUACGCCCUGAGGGGGGCCGGGGCCUCCUACCCCCCACCCCGGGCGGCCCGGGCGCCCAUCCCGUCCAGGCCUCAAGGAGCACUUGUCAUACAUUUUAAUGGACUUUGGAGUCGGACAAACCUAGAUGGAUGGCCUGCCUGGUCUCUGUCCCCGCUGGCUGUGUGCUUUGGGGGAGCCAGGAACGAGGCGGCUUUGGCCAGCCCUGGAAGAGCAACCCGAGAGCAGGGUGGGCACAGUGAAGACAGUUCUGAUUGAGACCCCCAGAACUCCAGGAGCCAAAGGACGACGCUGGCCGCAUCUGCAGAAUCCAUCAGGCGUCUUGAUGGGUCGCCGUUAAACAAAGAUGGGAUAAGGUUACAUGUGUUUUCCGUGGGAGUCGGCUCCAAUUUCAGCCUGAUGAUUUAGUCAGGUGUAAGCAUGAAGUUUCCAAUUUAGAGAAAUAAAUCUCCAGUGAUUUUAUUAUCCCCUGUUUUACCCUGACACCCAACUUCACCCCGGCCCCCUGUCAAAGCCCUCAUGAUGUGUUUAUAUAGGGCGCACUGUAAUUGAUUGGCGUGCAAUAGAACAUGACACAGAAAAUGUGGCCUUCCCCACCAGGCCCGACUCUGGGAGCUUCCAUAUUUCACCGUCCCCCAGGCCCAAUCACAGGCUCCCACUCGCUGUGGCCGCAAAUUCCUGGGAUUCUGGGUUGUCUGAGAACAGGAGUGAAGAGCCGAGGGGUCCAGCCAGGCACCCAAAGGUGGGCUCGGAGCGUGUUUUGGCCUACAGAUCAGGGUGAAAAACACUGGAGAGUGCACCUGCCCUGGGUAGAGGCUGGUUGGGGUGGCUGGACUCAUGACCUCAGAGGUCCUGGGAGAUUCUGGAAAUUAAUGAAAUGAACCAUCCUUGGCUCUAAGCUUUGGUAAUUCUACAGUUCUGAACUUCUGAGAUGGUCAGUUUCUAAUACUUUGUUAUUUCAAUCCGUGAAUUGAGUUGUGGUUCUAGAUUUAUGAGUCUCUGACAAUGAUAUGUAAUACAUGUUAUACUAGGAUCAUAUUUCUAAUGCAUAUGAAUACAAAUACAGAUGUGGAUUUGAAUACUGACAUCAAAGCUAAAACCAAUAUUCAUCCCAAUACUGUAAUUUACCGAAAGCUUUCAACGUGCCCAGCACCGCACGAGGCACAUUACAUAAUCCUUUCAGCUCGCCUUAGCGGCAGCUCUGUAGGGAGGAAUCAGCGUCUCCACUUUACGCAUGAUGCCACUGACGAUCAGAGAGGGUAACAAUUUGUUCACGGCUACACAAUCGGUCUCUGUGUUUUAAGAUUCUGGGAUUUUAGCCUUCUCGCCCAUAAGGCAGCCUAGACCGAGUGGAAAAAGCAGACAGAUGGCAGGGUGAGAAGCACUCCCAACCUCAUGGGCUGUUGUUAGGGGGGCGCCUAUGGUUAGUGCUCACACUGUGAGCCCAGGUGUCAUUGAAAAGGUAUCCAGGUAGAAAACCCCCAAGAUUCAGGGUAGAGAAUGAGGACAUAGGAUCUGGAUUCUGGCCUGCCAGCUCCCUGAUGGGGGAGAGGGGUGCCUAUUUUCUCUUUGCGUAUCUCUAGGACAAAAAGCUUUUACCCUCUUAUGAGGUGAAAACUGCUUUCCUAUAGCUUUAGGGAUCCUAUUUCUAUCUUGUAGGGACACAGAGCGAAUCUGCUUCCUUUGCUUCUUGCCUUUGGAGAUUUUGAGACACAGUAAAUCAAAUCUGUUUACUUACUCACCCAUUCAUCCAUCCAUUUUCCCCCAUCAUCCAUUAAUUAUUCAUUUAUCUAUCCACCUCUCCAUCACCUUUCUAUCCCCCUGCUUUCCACUCCUCAUCCCUCCAUCAGUACAUUGACCCUUCCUUCCUUUUUUCCAUCCAUCCAUCCAUCCAUCCAUCCAUCCAUCCAUCCACUAUCCAUCCAACAUCCAUCCAUCUGAUAGUCCGUUCACCCAUUUAUAAACUCACUCACUCACUCUCUCACUCAUUCAUUCAUUCAUUCAUUAAUUUAUUGAGAGACAGCAAACCAAAUGGCAUGUGUUAGGCACUCUGGGGGUGGACACAAAGAUGAAUAUGUCCUCAGUAAGCUUGGGAGAAGGACCAGACUCACACCUACAGUACUUGCUCACUUCAAAACGUCAAUGACUGUCUUGGCAAUUUGUAAAUCAGUGAUAAGUGGAGGAUUCAGGCUCUAAGUAUAACCAGGAGCCAGAGGAGAGAGGGGCCAGUGUGGGGUGGGCUGCUCAGACCAGUCAUCUUGCACUUUAUUUUCUUUACUUCCCAAACUGGUAUCUCAACCAUGAUCCUGGAUGAACACUGAAGUUUAGUACUGUGCUCGUUUGGAUUCCAUUCAUUCAUUCCUUGGUUCAGCAAGUACUCUUUGUGCAUUACUGUCUAACUCUUCAGACAUGGUGGCAAACAACAGACAGACACUUGCUUAUCAUUUAGUGUAGGAAACAGAUGAUAAACAAGUAAACAAAUAAGUGCCUAAUGUAAUUGCUGACAGUGACAAGUGCCACUAGAAAAAAGAAGAGGAAGAAAGGAUAGAGGAGAAGGGAGAUGCUAUUUUAGGUAAGAAAAUUGGGCAGCCUUCCCUGAGGAGGAGACAUAUGGGCAGGGUUAGGAAUUCCUGAGAAUUCCUAGGGAUGGAGGCCUCGGCCUUUGGCUUCCUAUUUUUCCCCAGAGAAAGGGAAGGAGAUGGCCAAGAGGAGUGGAAUGAAGGGAGGCUUGGACCCUUGGCUGGAGGGAUGGUUCAUCAGGAAGCAGGAGCUGGGUUUCUCUUUGUGAAAGAGAAAGGGCCUUUGUGGCCUUUGUGGCCCUUGAAGGGCAUUCACUUAGUUCUCCUUACCUGGCAGGGCACUGUCUUCAUUUACAGUGAGGAAACAGAACAGAAUGCACAGCCUGUGAUUUGCCUAAGACCCCAGUGUGGGUUAGGGGGAGAUCCACACCCCGACACAGGGUGGAGGCCAGCUCCUGGAGCACACCUACCCUCUGAAGCUCUGGGCCUUGGGUGGGUUGUGUCAGGGAGGGUCCCCACCCUGUCCUCUUCUGGAGGUGAAGGCAUGUUGGGGUUUGGUACCUGGAGAAUCCUGAUUUCUCUUCUUAAUCUCUCAGACCCCAGGGAGUAGAAAUGGUGAGUCUUAGGACUCCCAAGGGGUCAGGGCAGGGUGGGAGAGGUGGAGGGCCAGGACAAGACAGAGGAGGACAUGACGCACUGGGCAUAAGAACAAAAGCUGAAUGGAGGUGGCCCUAGCCUGGGAGUCCAGACCCUGGACUAGAAACUGUAGUUUCUGGUUUGCUAUGGGACCUGGGAAAAUGCCCUCUUCUCUUGAGACCCUCACUCUAAAUUAAGGGGUUUAGGGGUAUCUGGGUGGCUCAGGUGGUAAGCGAUGAACUCUUGAUUUUGGCUCAGGUCAUGGUCUCAGGGUUGUGAGACCACACCUCUGCCCUCCACUGCUCAU